rnacentral:rRNA from 1 species
UACGUAGGGUGCAAGCGUUGUCCGGAAUUAUUGGGCGUAAAGAGCUCGUAGGCGGUUUGUCGCGUCGAAUGUGAAAACCCGGGGCUCAACUCCGGGCCUGCAUUCGAUACGGGCAGACUAGAGUUCGGUAGGGGAGACUUGGAAUUCCUGGUGUAGCGGUGAAAUGCGCAGAUAUCAGGAGGAACACCGGUGGCGAAGGCGGGUCUCUGGGCCGAUACUGACGCUGAGGAGCGAAAGCGUGGGGAGCGAACAGG